ensembl:lncRNA
UCUUAAUGAAUCUACUCUACCUGCCUGGAUAGACUCUUAAUGAAUCUACUCUACCUGCCUGGAUAGACUCUUAAUGAAUCUACUCUACCUGCCUGGACAGACUCUUAGUAAACUCUGAAUCAGACACUUCUUGAUUUUCUGGAGCACUUUAGGGCUGUUCUGCAGUAGGGUGUGGUGUUGUUGGACUGGAGGGGCCAUGUUCUGCACAGCGCUAUGCAAUAACAUAGCACUUAUACCCUCUGCAUCACUCUCCAUAGUUAUGUGCCUCCACAGUUAUGUGCCUCCACAGUCUCCACAGUUAUGUGCCUCCACAGUUAUGUGCCUCCACGGUCUCCACAGUUAUGUGCCUCCACAGUUAUGUGCCUCCACGGUCUCCACAGUUAUGUGUGUCCACUAGCCUCUCUUCUCAAUACAGGGUUCUCUUCAUAUUUCACUGAUGUAGAGGUACGAGGACUGAAUCAGACGAUUGUUUAACCAGCCAUACUUCUCUCUCCAAUCUGUGAGCAUGUCUCUUUUACCCUCUGUCACCCUCUUACAAUAGAUCAGUUAUGCAAUAUGGCUCUUACAUUGGCUCUGCAGUCUUUGAUCUAUCCAUUUAUUGUUGUUUUUAUGAUAUGAAGAAAUAGUACUGAUACAUGUAUGUUCAUCAUAACUUCUUUCUCAAAGCAAUCAAUAUAACAAUAAUGUCUGACAGUAGGGUGAAGGAAUGAUCAAAUAUAGGUAUGAAUCUGAAAUCCAACCACAUUUUACCAGACAGCUCACAAAAUCAGCUACAAUACAGUAUAUUUCACCUCACUUUAAAGUGUUUGUUGCUAUGCAACUACUUAGUACAAAUACUCAUUGUUUGCCUGUACAGAAAGAGAACAAGCACUUGCCUUCCAUACUUACUCUGGUAUAAUACACAUCUCUUCCAUACUUACUUUAGUAUAAUACACAUCUCUUCCAUACUUAAUUUAGUAUAAUACACAUCUCUUCCAUACUUACUUUAGUAUAAUACACAUCUCUUCCAUGCUUACUCUGGUAUAAUACACAUCUCUUCCAUACUUACUUUAGUAUAAUACACAUCUCUUCCAUACUUACUUUAGUAUAAUACACAUCUCUUCCAUACUUACUUUAGUAUAAUACACAUCUCUUCCAUACUUACUUUAGUAUAAUACACAUCUCUUCCAUACUUACUUUAGUAUAAUACACAUCUCUUCCAUACUUACUUUAGUAUAAUACACAUCUCUUCCAUACUUACUUUGGUAUAAUACACAUCUCUUCCAUGCUUACUCUGUAUAAUACACAUCUCUUCCAUGCUUACUUUAGUAUAAUACACAUCUCUUCCAUACUUACUUUGGUAUAAUACACAUCUCUUCCAUGCUUACUUUAGUAUAAUACACAUCUCUUCCAUACUUACUUUGGUAUAAUACACAUCUCUUCCAUGCUUACUUUAGUAUAAUACACAUCUCUUCCAUACUUACUUUAGUAUAAUACACAUCUCUUCCAUACUUACUUUAGUAUAAUACACAUAUCUUCCAUACUUACUUUAGUAUAAUACACAUCUCUUCCAUACUUACUCUGGUAUAAUACACAUCUCUUCCAUACUUACUCUGGUAUAAUACACAUCUCUGUCAUGUUAAGCACAUCGUUAUUUUUGAUCAGGGUAGAAAGUCAGUGAAGUAUGAUGACUGUGUUAAUUUGGGUUCUACUAUCCUGGACAUUUCUAGGAUGUGUCAGUUAGUGUCCAGAGGUACUGUCCCUUUAGGUUAAGUUCUUUUUUAUAUUCCACAUAUCUUUCUUUCUCUAAAGCAGUCUACCUACCUAGGUAUCUGGAGUUUUAUACAGGUAUCCUCUGAUGUUAUAUGAAUUUAAGUGUGUGUAUAUAUCAGUUCAAAACCACUUAAACACAAGACUGUGAACCUUGGGACUGGCUAUUUUGUCUUGGGCAAAAUAUCAUUCUUGUGCUGUUUUUAUUUUGUUAGAAAGUUUUAUGUUAGAUCAGUUUCUUUUUCUUGGACAGUCUUUUUCAAACAGCAUUUUUAGAUUACAGUGUAUUCAUCAGAAAGGUUUACAUGCAUAAUAUUCGAUUUACCAAGAGGCCUUGUCUUUGUAUUUUCUGAAGAUGUUUGCACAAAUGUUUUGUAUGGCAAAAUCAUUAUUAA